rnacentral:rRNA from 1 species
GAUGAACGCUGGCGGCGUGCCUAAUACAUGCAAGUCGAGCGAACAGAUAAGGAGCUUGCUCCUUUGACGUUAGCGGCGGACGGGUGAGUAACACGUGGGUAACCUACCUAUAAGACUGGGAUAACUUCGGGAAACCGGAGCUAAUACCGGAUAACAUUUGGAACCGCAUGGUUCUAAAGUGAAAGAUGGUUUUGCUAUCUCUUAUAGAUGGACCCGCGCCGUAUUAGCUAGUUGGUAAGGUAACGGCUUACCAAGGCGACGAUACGUAGCCGACCUGAGAGGGUGAUCGGCCACACUGGAACUGAGACACGGUCCAGACUCCUACGGGAGGCAGCAGUAGGGAAUCUUCCGCAAUGGGCGAAAGCCUGACGGAGCAACGCCGCGUGAGUGAUGAAGGGUUUCGGCUCGUAAAACUCUGUUAUUAGGGAAGAACAAAUGUGUAAGUAACUGUGCACGUCUUGACGGUACCUAAUCAGAAAGCCACGGCUAACUACGUG